UGGGUAAGCUAACAGACAUCCCAACAUUUUUGGUUUGCUAGAUUGUUGGUAGGGUUUGUUGAGUUUGAGUUGGUGUAAUGUAAUAACUAAAACAAUCUGAUGUGAGAGACAGUACAGCUGAGAAACAGCCAGUAAAAGCUUUGAGAUGCUUCAAGACCAGAUAUUUUUGUCUUAUAACCAAAUCCUCGAGUCCAACAUAUUGGCAUAUAGAUAGAUUGGAGGCUCAUUGUUUAUCUACCAUUAGACUGGAGCCUGGAGGAUAGGUCUGAGGAUGUUGUGGCAUCAUAAUAAAUCACACUCUAUUGGGGUUACUAGGAAGCAAUCCUUUUAUUUGGUUUGUUUAAAUAAUAGGCACAAUCAUUGAUUGGCAUGCCUCAAUGCAAAUGGUCUGUUUAUUAACGAACACCGUUUCAUGGUUACUUAUGCAAUACUCUCUACUUUGGCCAGCAGGUAGAUUCCUGAAGUGGUGGUGAAUCGCUUGAAUGGGUGAUUGACCCUCUACUUUUGAAAUGCUUGUCAUGCAUAGUAUUCUUUGUCAUGAGAGUAGGAAGAAUGAGAAUGCACCAUUAAAACAAUGAGAGAGACUUGAACUAGGGUGAAGCCAUUUCAAAAGUAAUAUAAGCAGAAUUGCAGGAUUCAGUUUCCAUGAUUCAUACAAUCUGGAAGGUGAUGUUGUUAAGAUGCGAACCAGUGCUCAACUAUGGGUACCACAUUUCAUUCUCUUCAUGAAGGCAUUUACUCUAUGCUGUACGAUUAGGAAUCAGUCCAGGCAUUUACGCAAGUGACGUAUGACAAGGAAUCAAUCCACCAUGAUUUAAAGGAUGAUAAUUGGUCCGUGUCCUGCAAUAGUUUUAUUUGCGAAACUUGAAACCUUUCAAGUGAUUUACUGUUCUUACAUAAAUAUGGUUUUAUGUAUUAUUGUUCCA